rnacentral:rRNA from 1 species
UACGGAGGAUCCAAGCGUUAUCCGGAAUCAUUGGGUUUAAAGGGUCCGUAGGCGGUUUAGUAAGUCAGUGGUGAAAGCCCAUCGCUCAACGGUGGAACGGCCAUUGAUACUGCUAGACUUGAAUUAUUGUGAAGUAACUAGAAUAUGUAGUGUAGCGGUGAAAUGCUUAGAGAUUACAUGGAAUACCAAUUGCGAAGGCAGGUUACUAACAAUAUAUUGACGCUGAUGGACGAAAGCGUGGGGAGCGAACAGGAUUAGAUACCCUGGUAGUCCACGCCGUAAACGAUGGAUACUAGCUGUUCGGAGCAAUCUGAGUGGCUAAGCGAAAGUGAUAAGUAUCCCACCUGGGGAGUACGUUCGCAAGAAUG